CCUUUGUGCUAUCUGAAACCUCCAGCAAGAAUGUUUAUGGGACAUGAGGGUUUGAUUCCAUCCUUUGCGUUGCCUAUGACUCCCCAUCAAAAGCAAUAUUUGUGUUUAAAAUUCAAUUACAGAGGAGAGAGAGGCCACAGCAACUAAGUUCAGAACGAGCUCCAACCUCCCCACAGCCUGGGGGUGUGAGGCGCCCAGGGCUAGGCUAGUCUCUGCUAAAGACCAGUGAUGCCAUCAGCCGGCCAUUACACCUGAGUCGUCGUUAAUGAGCUGGAAACAUACAAAUGCCUGGGGAUCCAACGAACGAAUGAUAAUAGAUAAAUAAGAUACACUAUGACAAGGCUGUGGGUAUGCAAGUACAGAUUGCAGCCGUGUGUCCUUCAGCAUGACGUGUAUGGAGCUCGUGGAAAGUGGGAGGUGACCAGAUGUCACCGGCUGGACCCUUCUGAAAUCAUCAGCUUUCCAGCAGAGAGACGUCCCCAUCCCAGUCCUUGGCCUUACAGCUGCCUCCAAACAAACCGUGUUUCCUUGCAAAUGAGGACAAGUUGCUUGAGGUUUCUGAAGGGAGACAGAGUGUUUACGAUAACCCAUCGCACAGAGAUGGUUCAAAAGAUGCUGGGAGCGAGGAGACGUUUUCCUCUGAAACAUUCACUGACCCGAAGGAACUGUUAA
rnacentral:lncRNA from 1 species